CCUCACGGCUUGUGGUCGUCCGCGUGAAGACGGUGUGGGCGUGGUGUGUGCGGCAUGAUGGUGCGUAGCGGGCGCGUAGGUGGUUCGGGAGGUUGUGCGUGUGAUCCCGGUGCUCCACCCCGGGGCUGCCGGGACUAGUGCCGGACUUGAGCACGCUAGGGGCAGAUGGAAUUCCCGGUGUAGCGGUGGAAUGCGUAGAGUUCGGGAAGAACACCAGUGGCGAAGGCGUUCUGCUGGGCCGUUGCUGACACUGAGGCGCGACAGCGUGGGGAGCAAACAGGAUUAGAUACCCGAGUAGUC
rnacentral:rRNA from 1 species